rnacentral:lncRNA from 1 species
ACGAAAUAAGGAGGAAACUAAUAUGAUGCACGUGUGACGAAUAAGGCGGUACUUAUUAUGUUAUUAAUUUCACACGUGGCGAAACAUGGAUGGCUAUGUCAAGGAUUAAUUGUAACGAUUGUGACAGCCUGUGGAGGCAUUUCUAUUCUAGUUAAUGUUUGAUUGUGGUUGUUUCCCUGAAUGGGCUUUUAUAUGUAGAUGUGAUGAGGAGACAUUGUGCGUGCCGCCUGCUCUCCUUCUUAUCUUUAUUAGCUAGUAGAAAUUUUGUUAAAGCACUCGCACAAGCAUACACGUAGUUGAAACACUCUUAUUGGGGGUGAAGUACCCCUAAUUUGCUCUGCGUAGAGGCAUGUCCUUGUUUAAUCAUUUUAUACGUGAGAGUGGCCCUAGUUAGCCGGCUCGUUGCUAGUAUGACCGUAAGGUUGAUAGAGGCACAUGAUGCCAAGUGUAGAUUUCGAAUGCCGGGACUCGUGAUAUUGUGAUUUGACCAAGAUUGGAAAAUUAGUGGGAAUUGUUAAAUAAGACCUGAUGUGGAUACUACCGUAGGAACCGAGUUAUUGUUGUGUUUCCUUUAUGUAUUGUGAUCUUGGGGUUUGUAUUGGAUUUUUCCGUGAUUAUGUGUCAUCAUUCUAAUUAUUCUCGUGUUACUUGUUGUUUCUUUCCUCAUUGUGAUUGUAGCAUUAUUGAUCAUUUUGUAUAGUCUUCAGAUAUAUUUAUAUAUCAUGUUCUGUUGUCCCUAUAAUUAUAUUUUUUAUUUGACUGGUAGCUGUCUUGACUGUUUCUCGUUACUACCCCACAGAGGUUAGUCUUGAUACUUACUGGGCACCGCUGUGGUGUGCUCAUACUACUCUUUUGCACAUUUUUGUUGUGUAAAUGCAGGUACUCCCACUCAGCUGUCAACCAUGGAAGGAGGCGUUUCUGUAGAGAUUUCGAGGUAUAUCUGCUACAUCCACCGAUCGAAGAGUCCCUCUCUAUCCUUUUGUAAUAAGUAUAGCCCUUUCAGUAUUAUUCGUUUGUUUAGACAUUUCGGGAAUUAGAGCUUCUUAUGUAUCCCUCAACUUGUGAUUUGUGAGAUUUAGGGUUCUGGGAAUGAUUAUUAG